UGGCGUCAAAGAGGAUCCUAAAAGAGUUGAUGGACCUGAAGAAGGACCCUCCCACCUCCUGAUUCGCUCUCUAGCUCUAUGGGUUGUAGUAUUUUGAGAUGAAACACUGUAUCUAUAUCUCUAUCAGUAACAUUGAGUUGUAUGCUAGAUAAUUUUUUUGUUGACACGGUGAUGUGCUAGAAAGCUCCAGGCGGUUCGCACGACAGAAAGGAAUUCUGAAGCUUAGCAUGGAACCAUGAUGGGAGGAAUUCUGAAGCUUAGUGUGCUGUUAAUGAAGUAAAGGAGCAGGUCCUAUAUCAUAUUUGCUUAUGAGCGAAUCAUUCUUGGGAUCAUAUUUUAUGUCUACUUAUUGCACGAUGUGGUGCUUGAUGUAACUUUGUAUCUCAUCUUAUUUGACAUUUUGUAAACGAGAUAUUAUGUGUUGUUAGACUGAGCUUAUGCAAUUGAAAAUAAGUUGGUUGUAUGUGCUACAA